UUUGGCAUAGCCAUGGCCCUUAGGAAACAAAGCCGAAAGACCGAAGAACUUUAUCAGUUGAUUACCAUUAAAGAUGGCGCAGAAAAAUUAGCGGAACUCAUAAAACCGUAUAUAUUGCCGUCCAUGAAAUAUAAAUUGGGAAAAUUAGGUUAACACAAUUGCCUAAAAAGUAAUGGAGGCGUUCAUCAAGGUCGGCUAGCUCCGGAUGGAAAUCGGAGCGAUAGCGUAAAGGCAAAAGCCGGCUUUACUGCAAGGCGGAUGUGCCGCGCAGUUGCGAAAGCAGGACUUAGUGAACCGACUCUAACUCGUAGGAGUGGAGAAGAUCAUCAACUAAAAGCUACUCCGGGGAUAACAGGCUGGUACCGCUCGAGCGUUCAUAGCGACGGCGGUGUUCGGCACCUUAACAUAUCGGGGUGCUACAGGAGAGAUCCUGUACCUGGAACCCGCCCAAGUUGGCGGGCAAAAAAUCUGGCUUAUAACGGUGGAUUCGGACUUAGUUUUGUGAUAAAAUUAACACAACAAACUAAGCGAUAAUACCGUGGGAAGUCUUACACAAGAACAAAAAUCUCUAAUUAUCGGAACCAUUUUGGGCGACGGUUAUUUGAGAAUUAUUCCAAGAAGGAAAAAUGCAUUCCUUGAAGUUAAUCAUUCUAUAAAACAAAAAGAUUAUGUGGAUUGGAAAUAUUCUGUCUUGCAAUCAAUUGUAAAAAACGGACCAAAAUUAAGAAAUGGCAACGGCAACAGAAUUGCCUGCAGGUUUUAUACCUGUUGUUCGCCUGAAAUAACAGAUCUAUUUAGAUAUUUUUACAAAGAUCGCAAGAAGAUUAUCCCUGAUGAUUUACAAAUCAAUCCAUUUAGCUUAGCAGUUUGGUAUAUGGAUGAUGGCUCAAAAAGCGGUGAUUCAAUCUAUCUGAAUACUCAACAGUUUUCGAUAGAAGAUCAAAACAAAUUGCAAAAACUUUUGUUAAAUCAGUUCAAUAUUAAUUCUAAUCUUAAUAAAGACAAAGAAUAUAUGAGAAUUAGAAUUAUAACAGCAGACGCUAAAAAGUUUUGCAAUAUUAUUCGUGAAUUUAUUCCUCAAUCAAUGCAAUAUAAACUUGUGUAAUGACCCCGUAGAGACUCAAUUUUAAGAAAUUGGAGUUGUUAUUAAACAUGACAGCUAACACGCCAGCUCCUAAUCUCGUAAAACGCGAGAAAGGAAGAAGAUAUAGUCCAUACAAUUAGUAAUAAUUGAAGCAUAUACGAUGUCGGCUCGCCCUAUCCUGGGACUGAAGAAGGCCCCAAGGGUUUGGCUGUUCGCCAAUUAAAAGGGUACGCGAGCUGGGUUCAAACCGUCGACCGAAAGGUUAAGGCGGCUAUGCUGAGAAAUCAGCAUCAGCAAAAUCGACUCAUAUCGGAAAAAUCCUAAUCUCGCUGUUGCGAGAGCGUAGAAAUACGCCUAUUAUCCUACCUGGAUUUUUAGGACAAUUCCGAGGGAAGAACGAAAAAUCAUUUUGCGAUCUCGUUCCCCGUAGAGACUUAAUUCUUAAAUGAAUUAGGCGUUGUGAUUUUUUACAACGCAAUAUGUCGGUCUUCCACAUUCGUGGAAGGUGGUAUAGUCCAUACUCGUAGUAAUACGAGACGAUUAGUGAAAACUAAUUUAUGCGUGAGACAGGUUGGUCCAUAUCUGGUGUGGGCGUUGAUACUUGAGAGGGUUUGUCCUUAGUAAAGUAUUGCUACUUCAUGGAGUAAUCCAUGAUGACAAUUCGGCUAAUAACGGUGGAGGCUCUUGUUUGCUAUGCAAUUCGGUCCGAAAAGCAUAGAUCAAAACUGGCAAGAGUUAAUACCGUGGGAAGUUAUUUAUAAAAAAGACACAGUUUUUACUGUGUCUGUCUGAGAAUUGGAUCGAGAACUGGAUAAUUCUUUAAGAAACAUUUCUUAAAUGAUUCCUGUCUUGAAGGUAGCCAUUGAACUAAUGUAAGAAGUAGUGACAAUGGCGGGGAUAAAAUUAGAAGAUAGAACACUAUUACCAUAAAAAUGGUUGAAAGUAUUUGAAAUAAUACAAUAGCAAGAUUUGGAAAAAUAGCGCAAAACAAGACGAAAACAAUGAAUUUCUUCAUUCUCCCUCACUCCAAUUAAAAGAACCUUGUAAUCAUUAAAACACAUAAGUAAAUUAAUUGCAAGGGCGAUAUAAUUGACCCCGUAACGACUGGAGUCCCGCUAUCGCGGGAUGAAGAUGGAAGUUUUUUAACUUUCAUAAUAUGCCGAUCCCCAAUUCGCCAGUUGGCGGAGGGGAAAGAUAUAGUCUGCGACGAGAGGACCGGGAUGAACGAACCUCUGGUCUGCCAGCUGUCCUGCCAAGGGCACCGCUGGGUAGCUAUGUUCGGUUCCGAUAAGCGCUGAAAGCAUAUAAGCGCGAAGCGGGCCUCAAGAUUAGGUAUCGUAGAUUCCUUGUAGACCACAAGGUUGAUAGGGCUCAGGUGUAAGCGCAGUGAUGCGUUGAGCCGAGAGCUACUAAUAAAUCA
rfam:Parcubacteria (Yanofskybacteria) bacterium GW2011_GWC2_41_9 TT84_C0004, whole genome shotgun sequence.